AACGAACGCUGGCGGCAGGCUUAACACAUGCAAGUCGAACGCCCCGCAAGGGGAGUGGCAGACGGGUGAGUAACGCGUGGGAACAUACCCUUUUCUACGGAAUAGCUCUGGGAAACUGGAAUUAAUACCGUAUACGCCCUACGGGGGAAAGAUUUAUCGGGGAAGGAUUGGCCCGCGUUGGAUUAGCUAGUUGGUGGGGUAAAGGCCUACCAAAGCGACGAUCCAUAGCUGGUCUGAGAGGAUGAUCAGCCACAUUGGGACUGAGACACGGCCCAAACUCCUACGGGAGGCAGCAGUGGGGAAUAUUGGACAAUGGGCGCAAGCCUGAUCCAGCCAUGCCGCGUGAGUGAUGAAGGCCUUAGGGUUGUAAAGCUCUUUCACCGAUGAAGAUAAUGACGGUAGUCGGAGAAGAAGCCCCGGCUAACUUCGUGCCAGCAGCCGCGGUAAAAC
rnacentral:rRNA from 1 species